CUAGUUGAUUCAGCAGGUUAGCGCAGUUGGGCACCGUAACCCGGCUUCCGAUUCAUCCCGCAUCGCUAGUUCUGCUUUACAAUGCAGUGUUGGUGCUACUUUACACAACCUUGGACAACUCUAUCUUGUGCAGCGAAAACUUGAGGAAGCUCGUGCGUGUUAUGAGUCGCGUUUUGGACCAGUUCGUGUUCAAAGUGAGAUUGCGAACGAAUCCUUUUUCUGAUCGCCACAAAGUUUAGUGGGUAGGUUUAGGACACCUAGGAGAAGCUUUUCAACGGUGGGAUUGGAAAUUGAACGCGUGAUUUGAGAUACAGUUGACGUGAGGAAGAAUUCAACUGUGGUUGUGUGGUGUUGUUAUUGUUCAAAAAUCAUCCCUAAGCUGAGGUAAAGAUAAAGUGUGAUCGUGGAAUCAUGGCGAGGAGAGGAGGAUGAUCUAAGACUUGAUUUUUGUGAUCAUUAUUAGUUGACUUUCACGGUUUAUUUUUGAUUAAAUGUGGAAUUGAUGGUUGCAUUGUUAUUGGUAUUUUGCUAGUUUUAUUUUGAAUAAUUUUGAAUUUAAUUUUAGUUUGGAAUCUGUUAAAGUUUAUUUGAAAUACUUUGGAAUUUGGUGGGUUAUUAGGAUAACCGGAAUAAUUUGAUCGAUUUAGUGAUUUUUGUGA